rnacentral:rRNA from 1 species
GUGGGGAAUAUUGGACAAUGGGGGGAACCCUGAUCCAGCCAUGCCGCGUGUGUGAAGAAGGCCUUUUGGUUGUAAAGCACUUUAAGCGAGGAGGAGGCUACCGAGAUUAAUACUCUUGGAUAGUGGACGUUACUCGCAGAAUAAGCACCGGCUAACUCUGUGCCAGCAGCCGCGGUAAUACAGAGGUUGCGAGCGUUAAUCGGAUUUACUGGGCGUAAAGCGUGCGGAGGCGUCUUUUUAAGUCGGAUGUGAAAUCCCCGAGGUUAACUUUGGAAUUGCAUUCGAUACUGGGAAGCUAUAGUAUGGGAGAGGAUGGUAGAAUUCCAGGUGUAGCGGUGAAAUGCGUAGAGAUCUGGAGGAAUACCGAUGGCAAAGGCAGCCAUCUGGCCUAAUACUGACGCUGAGGUACGAAAGCAUGGGGAGCAAACAGGAUUAGAAACCCCAGUAGUCC